UUGGAGGGCAAGUCUGGUGCCAGCAGCCGCGGUAAUUCCAGCUCCAAUAGCGUAUAUUAAAGUUGUUGCAGUUAAAAGGCUCGUAGUUGAAUUUCGGGGUUCUACCGUCGGUCGGGCUACCAAGUCUGUACUGGUGUGUAGAAUUUCUACCUUCUGGGGAACCAUCAUGUUAUUAAUUUAGCGUGGUGGGAAACCAGGACCUUUACCUUGAAAAAAUUAGAGUGUUCAAAGCAGGCUUAUGUCUGAAUACAUUAGCAUGGAAUAAUAGAAUAGGACGGUGGUCCUGUUUUGUUGGUUUCUGAAUCACCGUAAUGAUUAAUAGGGAUAGUUGGGGGCAUUAGUAUUCAAUUGUCAGAGGUGAAAUUCUUGGAUUUAUUGAAGACUAACUUCUGCGAAAGCAUUUGCCAAGGAUGUUUUCAUUAAUCAAGAACGAAAGUUAGGGGAUCGAAGACGGUCAGAUACCGUCGUAGUCUUAACCAUAAACUAUGCCGACUAGGGAUCGGACGAUGUUAAAUUUUAUUGACUCGUUCGGCGCCUUACGGGAAAC
rnacentral:rRNA from 1 species